rnacentral:lncRNA from 1 species
GGGAGAGCUCCAAUGUCCUAUAGAGUAUCUUGAGGCUCCGCCUCAGCAGUUAGCUCCCAUCUUGGCUAGGGACUUGUUAGCCUUGUAGUUUCUUUCUGUCGUUUUUUAAUUUUCCGAUGUACCAAAAAAAAAAAAUAUCAAUCAUUUUUUUAUUCUCUUCCUAUUUACUCAAGGUGAUGAUGAAUAACAUAUGUAAACCAAACAUUAUUCAGUUCAAACCUAAAAUUUGUGCGAUAUGAGAUUCUAUCGUAUUCUACUCAAUUAAUCCUCUUAAGUUUUCCAUGCCUCACUUUGAUGAACGUACGGGAGCGAGUAAAAGUUCCUAUUCUUUUCACUUUUCAAGUAGUAAACAAACUGAAGAUCGACCAAAUGAAACACAAGCUUUGAAGUGAGAAAGUGAAGAAAGAAAAGGCAACCUAUGAUUGAAGAAUCUUCAUGUCUUCAUAUUAUGAGAUGAGAGAGAAAACACUUGACUCUUGCUUCACGACCAUGUCUUUCCUGCACAUGUAUAUACUUCUGGCCUACGCGCGUGAUUGGGUACGUAGCUAGGACCCUAUAGUACUGUUCAUCCUUCAUUCAUUAGCUAGCUAGCUCAUAAAUUUUCAAGAGAAGCUAGGCAAACCCAUAGUAUGGCUUUAUCAUAAAUAAAUAAAUACUCACAUACUGUAUAUAUCUUCCUU